rnacentral:lncRNA from 1 species
UUCAAAAUGUCAAAACGGUCAACUUCACUGAUUCGACAAAUGCCUCUGAGAAACUCCACAUACUAAUUUGCUGACACCACAUAAGAUAGUAGACGAAAAAAUGCUUUGAAAUUUAUAGAAAGCAUUGAAAUGCGCGACGAGGAAGUCACGUGACUUGUUGUCAAAACGAUAAUGUCGCGCCAAAUAUCCUUGCUGUCUUUUUUGAGUCAUAGACGCCGUCGUUUUCUUCUUCUUUUUCAACCCUCCAGCAACUCAGAGUCCCGUCCUCCUUCGAUCAUCGUCAGUCGUCGUCAUCAUCGCUGCGAAAUCAGACGGGUGAACGGACGGCGAUCUCAGCAAGCGAGCUACGACCUGCCAGGCGGAGCGGCGUCGGCGAGCAUGGACGACGCGAAAGCCGUCGAGGUCGCCGGA